CUCCAGGCACCAUAUACCAGAUCCUGGAGAUCUGCAUGCUCCGCAGGAGGACGGCACCUACCUCCCCACUUGCUAGCUCUGUGGAGACUUCUGUGCACCUUCAGAACUGAUGAGGGAAAGGGCUAGAAAAUGGACAGCAACUAAUGGAGUGAAGGACUGUCAACCCAAAGAAAGGACAGCCUCUUAUAGCUCUUUUCCUUACCCAUGAAGAUAACACAGACAAGGAAAAUCUGAGAGCACUAAUCAGCCUCAAUUUACAAGCAACUGAUGCAGCAAUUCCUGGGUAACAUGAGAACAUAGAAGUAAAACUAAAGAAUAUGGGCCCUGGUUCAAGAACUGGAAAAUGGAUGAAGAGCUGAUAAACAGUCAGAGACAAUGAAUUGUACUGGAAAGUGACCUUUCGAGAGUUCAUCAAGCUCAAUGUUACUGAAUUCAUGCACACAUCUACACACACCUACACACACACACACACUCUCUCACACACAUACAUACGUGUAUAUGCACGCAUGCACGCAUGUGUCUGUGUUAUGUUCGAUAUCAAUAACACUGGGAAAAAGAGGAAACGGGCUUAUUUAAGAGACAUCAUGCGGAGAGAUGUCGGUGAUGAACAGGUCAGAGAACGACCUGAAAGAUUAUAGCAAUAGAAAUAUCCAGUCCUAUGGAGCACUGUGUGAGAUAUUCCCAGAAGAUAUAGAGAAGUGUUAGUGCCAUUUCAUUGUGUACAGCUCCGACAGUCAGGAACGUACAAGAUGUUCAAGAAAUUGAAUUGGAGCAGGUUCAGCUGGGGUGAGUGCAAUAAUCAUGCGAUUCUACAGCCUAAUUUGUGAGAGGAGACUGAGAGAAUCAGGCUUUUUUAAACCUAUCCAAAAAAAAAAAAAGAAUUACAGAAUUUCAUUGCUCUUUCUGUUUAUGUUUUGGGGUAAGCACUCAGGUUCCCUGCAGAAAGAACAACCAAUUUUAGCUUCAGGGCAAUACUUGACUAAGAAUGACUGGAGCCUUACUGGCCCAGGAAAUCAAUUAGUGAAAAUGAGAAGGCUUGUGACUCUCUGAGCAGAGAGGCUCUGGUAGAACUGGAAUAGGAGUAAUGGGCAAAACCUUAAGAUAGAGUUGAUGAAUACAUAAAUGGGAUCAUACGGCAGAGUUGCCUGUAAUAGCAGGUUUGUUUGAAUGACCAGGAUGUCCUACCCAACACUGUCUUCCUGAGGUCCUAAAAAAAGAAUUUGUGUAUAUUGCAUAAAAAAUAGAUUUGUUAAAUAUAAAUAGGCACAAGCAUGGCUUACUUAUAAACAGAGGUGCCUAAUAAGCAAUCUUGAAUUUGCAUGCACUGCUGUAGCUGUAUGUCAGAAAGUUACUGAAGGAAAAGCUGUGAUCUUUAUUGAGUCCAAUAAAAUCUG